ensembl:lncRNA
GAAGAAGUCGGGCUAAGUAUGGCAACAGCUGUAACGUCCCUCAUGUCCUAAGAGUUAAACUGCAUGGCUGCAAGGAAGUUCUGUCUAAGCUACACUGCCCUGUAGAUCUCCGAGAAAACAAAAUGCACGCAAAGACAGCUUUUAAAAAGAAAGGCAGAAGUAGUGAAACGCAGAGAUUUGACGCUUUACCACAGCCAUCUUCGCAUCGCCUAAUUAGAAGGCAUAAAAGCCUCUCCUGCCUUUACCUCAGCGAGCGGAAUCAUUAGGGUGAUGAAAGCCAGCCGUCUCCACGUUGCCAGCGAGCCGGUGGGAAGCCGGGCGGCGCUGGAGGUAAUUGCUAUCAGCGGCGGACAGCUCCCGGUGCUGAAAGGCGAGGCGCGGGCACGGCGCGCACAAUGGCUCGCCCCGCCGCCUUUGAAAAAUCACAGCCAAACUGAAUGAGGUGGCAAGUGCUCGGGCUGAAUAGCACUGUCUGCAGAACAAUGGCAGCCAACUACAAAUCCCACUAUAAUCACAUUAAUGAGAUUAAUCAGUGAAUUAGCAGCAGUCAAAUGUCAGGGUGGCAAGGAGGAAUCCAACCAAGCUUGGUAAUUAACUUUUGGGGGGCAAAGGAAGAGAACCGACUGUGUUAUCUCUUAGGCUUUUUCAGAAGUUUACCAAUUUUUUAUUCACAAGCCUCUGGAAGAUGCUGACAAUUCAAGUGAGGGGGGGUGGAGGGGAUAAUACGGAGACCUCAACCUUUGCAUGCAACCUGCUAAUACACAGUAUCCUAUUACUUCGAGCUGAAGUCCGUUGAGGAAACUAGCACCAUUUCAAACAGUCUACCCCAACUGCCAGAGUACUGCACUGUACUGAACUUUGGGUGUAAAAUUAGUUUUGUAAUCUAACUUCCACCACAAACUUCAGUAGGCAUGAUAAAUAUGGCCGAUGCCAAAAGCAGUAUUAAAUCUUAUUUCUUUUUAAAAAUUUACAAAAAAGACCCUGUUUCUGAAAUCAGGGGGAUAAGAGAAAGAAAAAAAAAAAGUGCCCUUUAAACAGCCAUCAGCAAUAGAUUACCAUGACAAGUUAAUGCUAGAUUUGUUGCAGAACAUUUUCUAAAACAAAAGGGAAAAAAAAAAAAGAUUUUUAAUCAAGUAAUUUAGAGUAAGUUACUUAAUGUAGGCAAGUCAGACACCUGAUCUCUGUCUGACCUCAAUAAAAGUGAAACUUCACUCCACCUUUAAUUUAGCACCCACAACCAUUUCUCUAUUCUAAGUAUAAGAUAUAAAAAGAGAUUCCCUGUAGACUGUAAAUAAAACACAAUUGCAUUUAUUUGCAAGAAAAAGGGUACUGUGUAUGUCCUUUUCUAUCUUUAAAAGGAACAUUGUCAACCUUGCAAAAACAUUUAUCACUUAAAAAACUCCACAGUAAUACACACAUUACUUCUGUAGAAAAUAAAUAAACAUUGCUUUUUAAAAAUCUCCUCUGUGGCUAGAUGAGGCUAUGUAUGUUGUUCAGUACAGAAAGAAAUGGCAUGCUUCUGUUCUAUUAAGUUUAAUCGUUGUUAGUGACAAAUAAAAGAAGCAAACCUGUGUAACAUCUCCUGUAUAAGAGGCUAACAAUCUAUUUCUUUUUUACUAACUAAUAUAAUUAAUUUUCUUUUAUACUCUCCAGUUAGCUUUUAGCACUAAAUAAAAUUAUGAAAUUCACACAAAAUGUAUGUGGACUACAGUCAUACUUAUCUGAACUACUUUAAAAUUGAAGUAUAGACUUAGAGGGUUAACUGAAUUAACCAUGCCUUAUUUACAGAGGUGUUUCUCUUUAAAGAAAAGAAAAAACUGUUACAGAUAAAAAAUAUUUAAGAUAGUGUUCUUUAGAAUUGCUACUCCCCUGUGAGUGUUCCGUUUUAAAGUACAAAACCACUGUUUUCAAACGUAGUUUUAGUGUAAAAACAUUAUCUUAUAAUCUUUUCUUUAAUUGUCUUUGGCUGUCAGGAGGCUUGAGCUUUCUAAUCUGAGAAGUUUCUGUCUCUGGCUCUCCAUAUCAAACAAGUACCGUCCAACAUGCAGCAAGUUUAUAUAAACAACAACAUGCUUAAAGCAUGCAACAUUAUGCGUUCAUGUAGCAAGCAUACACUUUAGGAUUUUUUAUAAGCUAUUCUACAGCCCAGUAUAAUUUCAGCUGCACAGCAGUAUUGUCAGAAGAACUUGAAAAGAGCAAACAAUGGAUGUUUAAGUACAAGCUACAGAACAACUGCAAAAAAUCACAAUAAUCUUUCCAGUUAGCUACAAGAAUCAACCCCCACCCUACAUAAAAUGCAUCCCACACCUGCACCGUUAACCAUUUACAAGUUAAACAUAAGAAAGACAUUUCAGCAUGGUUAAGAAACACCCUGUCUUACUACAACUUUGAAAGGAUGAGGAGUAAGAAGCAUACCACAGAGACCCAGAAAAUGCUGCUUUUUUUCUUCAUUGAACACUGAAAAGAUACCCCAUGUUCCAGGGAGUUCAAAAAAAUAGAUAUAUAUUAAAAUACACCCACCAACACUGAGUAAAAAAAAAUCAGGGGGCUUCAAGAAGACUGCAGGGAAAAAGCUCUCACUCUCUUUAGUGUGCAGAAGCUUAGGGGGAAAAAAAUGUCGCCCUGGCAGGAAUGACAAAUGCAGUAGGAUAGGCUAGCAGGCCUGAGGGAUCUGUUUUACUUCCACAUACAUCCUCUAAUGCACGCACUCCCACUCAUCCUCUCGAGAUGCCUUUUUUUUUUUGCCUCCACUUUUUUUUUUUUUUUUUCACCAGCUCCAAAUCCCCGGCAUAUGACCUUCUGUUAAAUAGAUAAAAAAAAAUUUGCUUAUCAGUCAUGCAAAUGAGGCUGAAUUCAUUUUCCACAACAGAUGGCCUCAUAGAUAAUGAUGAUGGAAGAGAGAAAAUUGAAUGUCUCUCACAAGGUGGUCAUGGCAACCGAGAGCAGAAUAAUAUCAAUAAUAAGCUCACUGCAUAAUAAGGUUGUCAAUCCCACAAAUCAAAGUCUCCAGCUAAAUCAGGUAUCCCACCCCCAGCUAGUUAUCAGGUAAAUAGAGAAAUAGAGAGCAUCCUUUUUCUUUUUAGACGAGGAGCUGUGAAAAGAAAUGGUGGCUCCAGCGAUUCCAGGGUACAAGGGGAAGGCAGGAGCAGAAGAGAUUUUUCUCUGCUAAUUGUAUUUUAUUUAAUUAUUUGGGGAGGGUGGGGCAGAGGGGCACUGGAUUUGGGGGUUUUUCCUAUUUUGUUUUUAAUUAUUCCCACAGAGUUUUUAUUUGGUUAGGGGUGUGGGGUGUGUUUUAGUUUGUUUUUUAAUAGUGAGGCUGGUAUUUUGAACUCGUUCUGCUGCCGAAGCCUUGUCUCCCCUCCCUGCGUCUGAUGUGAAGUGCUGCAUUGAUGCAAUAGCAACUCGCCUCAGGCUUCCACCUUGGCUCCCAGGGGGCCAUCCCGCAAAAUGAAUCAGCAGCCAUCCUGAGCAGACUGAUUAAAAUGAAAAUGGCAAGGCACAUGUCUGGGCGGAACUAGAGCUUGAGCUGCACUGCCUGUCUGGCAAGCAUGCUCAAUAUAGCUUUUGCUAAUAAUGGCUUACCGCCUUUCAUUUUUUAAAGGUAUUACCGUCACCCCUUCCCCCACUCCCCAAACAGUCAACGGUGCUGGGGGAUUUUCCCCCCUUAAUUGUACACUGAUCGCAGUGAUAUUUUGCCAGAAUGACAUACAGUGACUGUGAAAAGACAUUUUCCUUGCAAGGAUUUUCUUCGCAGAUGUGCUGAAAUACAAAGACGACAUAUUAACAUGCAUCUAUAAAUUAUUCCCAGAUAUUAGCUGGGAAAGAAACCUCAGAGGAAGAGGAAAGCUCAGUCACUACCAUAAACAUCAUUUUUUUUUCCUGUUUUUACACCUCAGCUUGCAAUGGCACCUUGUGCAUUAUGCAUCACAAGAAAAUGACUGCCAGUAAAUGCAGAGCAACUUCCUGGAGCUUUAUGUGUGCUGCGUUUGACAGACUCUGAGCUGAAUUUCUAAAGACCACCACCCCACACCCCCCCAAGCAGAUAACUGGGUGCACAGAGAAAGAGCAAUUUAAAGCGGGCAUCUCCUGUAGUCCUUGGAUGAAACACUAACAUUUUGCAGACAGCUUCAGUGUGCAAAGCAGAGCAGCGAGAAAACGUCGAUCGAAGCAUGCACAGGAUCUGAAACCUUGGAAGAAUGUUGUUUCGUGGGGACUGCUCUGCCUGUUUUUGUUAAGAUAAGGUAUUCCUGGGAUCUGCAGCACUGCAGAACACACCUCCCCCACCACCCUGUCAAUGUAUUUCAACUUCAGCAUAUUGACAGCAACUGCCCCAGCCUGAGUCUGGCUCCAGUGAAGCAUUUAUAUUCCUUCCACUCAGCCCUGUGUGUCUUUGCAGGGCUCAGGAUGCCAACCCAGGACCAGCUCUGGAGAAAUAAAGGCUGGGAAAAUGAACGAAUCAUAAAGCCAUAUUGCACAGCAGAGUCACUUUCCAGUCUGUGUUCUACAGUUCAUUCUUAUGCAGGCUUUUAAAAAAUGUGGUUUAAAUCCUACAAAUGAUGGCACGUCAUGCUACCAAGUAAUGGAUUGUAGGACACUGUCGAACAAAGGGGGCCAGGAAGCAUAGAAGUCCACCUCUCCUCAACAUCAGCAAUUACUCCAUCACAGUAACCCCUCCCCAAAUAUUUAUCUAAUCUCUGCUUUAAUUAUUUAUACUGGUUGCUUUUUUCUGCUGUCCUUGGCAGUUUGGAGCACAAAUUAACCAUUCUCUGUUUCUCUGUGCAGAGACAUUCUGCCUAAGGUUUUUUUCCUAUUCUUUCUGCCCAAUCCUUAUUAAAUAUUAACCCCUUUUCUACUGGACAGAAAUCUCAAGCUGCACAAGGAUCACAGUUUCUCUCCAUUUAAAAUGUCUCUGCUUUCAUAAGCUUCUAGAUACAUUUCACAGCCUAGCAGCAGACUGCUUACCAGACUGGUAAACAUAGUGUGAUAGGGAAAAGUUAAAGCAUACAAUGCAACUAUUGUCCUGGAAUAUGAAAUUAGAGUCUGAAGACUAUAGGCUCUAUAUGCUGAACCUAUAUGCUCAAAUGUGUUUCUUUUGUAUUAUUUUUAGGAAGCAAGCAGAUAUCCACGUAAUGAAACAAGUAGAAUGCUACUUCUUGGCUCACACUGUAUUUAUUAAUAACAGGGAAAAUGAAUGGUGGAAAACACCCAAGGAAAGAAAGCACUUACAGUGCAACUAAUCCUGACAUUCCCUAAUCUUUCCUAUCUUUUCCUAAUACUGGAAUUUAGCAUGCUUAGAAACAGCAGCCCAGGGCAUAAUGAUAGCCACUGAGCAUGAGUGCUUACUGAGUAUAUGUGGAUUGGGUAACUUCUUUCUCCAUCUGUAGAUGAGAAUCAUUCUGACUGGAACAGUUGGCUCCUGUGAAAUCUCCAUUAGAGAUGGAGGCUGGUCACCACAGGCUAAUGGUUAACUAAGUUCUUCGUAAGGAUUAGCCACAAAAAAAAAAAAAUGGUGCUAACAAAGUGUUUAGCAGAUACUAGCUAUUCCAGUAGCUAAAUCUCCAUCUCACUGUACAUGAGAGUAACUGAAAAACAGUCUUUCCCAUUCCAUAAAAGUCUUGCCAUUUCACUGAUAAUCUCUGAUAUUUUCCAAAAUUUGUGACUUCUGUUAGAACAGCAGGUUACUACCGAUCAUACCAUAUUCACUAAGGCAACGUAAAGAUCACUCUGAUGAAACUCAAAGGAACAUCUUGCAGACAUCACUCCAGCACAGCACAGCACAGCACAGCACAGCACAGCACAGCACAGGGACAUGGUGGAAAGUACACCUUAAUAAGAAUAAGUGGGCUUCACUAAAGAACUCAGACGAAAGACAAUCCAAGUAAGGCACAGAGAAAUAAAAACUAUUUUAUUUCAAGCAAAUCUUGUCUCAGUCAUAAGGUUUUUCAUAAGAUAUGGCAUACACUGUACCCAUGCUAGCAAUGCACAAAUGGGGCGUAAGUAUUUUCAGUAUAUGUAAAGUGGUGGUAUGAUACUUUCUUCUCACAGAUAUAAAGUUUUCAAACUGUAAUUGUCCAGUGUCUGGUCACAAGGAUCCACCAUACAAAAGAACGUGUAUCUGACUGCACACAUAUGUGAAGAAAUCUCCUAAAAUAUUGAAACGAAAGUUUGCUGCUUGCCUCCAAGCAUCUAUUUUCCUCACAUGCAUUGUCCAAAAUAUCAACAGCUAUUAGAAAUAUGGGAAGAAAUGACAGGGAUCAAAUAUGCAAUCCCCAAUGAAAUGUUGGUGACUCUUUCUAAAAAGCUAACCCACGUAGUUACCCUUCCUGACCAUUCUCCAUUAGAGCCAUACAUAAGAGGGAACCAUUUUACCAUACUGAAUGGUACAAACACUUUUUUUUGCAGAAAAAGUAUCUUAUGGAUGACAGCUUCAGAAUAUUCACUCUGCAGCUUUCAUGAACAUGGAAGUGAUACUUCUGAUAUGCAGCAAAGAACUCUGACUAACUAGUAUUUUUUAUCAGUGUUGCUGAUAGUGAUAUCAGUUGCUCAAAACUGCUGAUCGUGUUCUCAAGGUGUUUCCAUGCAGGCACGUACAGUUGCAAGCAAUUUCUGCCCAUGUUCCAAGAUGACUGAAUGUAAAUUGUAUCUGGUCUGGAAGCUAGUUAGAUAUAGUCAAGUUAAUAAAAGAACUACCAGCUAGAUGAAUUGGUUGAGCUAGUUGAUGACUAUGUGCACACAGGGUAGACAUUGUUCUAGUCCCACUAGAUAAUGAAAUACUAAUACAUUCAACACAGGUGGAGGAAAAAAAACCCUGAUUGUAAAAAUGGGAUAAAAUUUCAGAAGACAGUUCUGAGCAAUAACACACUUCAGUUUUUUUCUCAUUGUCAUCAGCAAGGAAGAGGAUCAGGUCCAUAGAGAUGUUAACAAAUUGGAGAAUUUGCCAAAAAGACAAUAAAAACAAUUAAGGAACGGGAGGGAACAACUCAUGGGAAAAGAUUGAAAACUAAACACACAGAGCACAGAUAUGAACUGAAUGAAGAAAAGAUAAGGCUGAUGGAAGAUCUAAAACUGUCAAAAGGGUGAAAAAACCUGCUAAGGGUUCCCAGAAGGGAUACUCAUACCCAUAUAUGAGGAGUCAGGGUAAGUUAAAAUUACCAAAUUUAAUAAAUGACAAAGAGGCACUGAACAUUGUGAUAGCAUUCUUAGGAGAAUAAUACAAGGAAAUAAGAGUCAUUUACAACUGGACCAAACAAAACACUGGAAAUUAUACUAUAGGGAACAAUCCUAAAAUGGCUGGGGAGUGGUUUAAACAAUGUAGUAGGUCUUUUGAGCUUCUAAUUUUAAUGAUUCCUAGUUAUUAUUAGUUGCUAUCCCUAUUUAAGUGAUAGUCCCCAUUGUAAACUCUUUGACUAAGUAAGAACACAUAAAGGGAAUUAGAAAUCUCAAAUGGAGAAAAAAUGAUAUACAAAGCUCCUUAUAGAACGUUCAGAUUUUUUUCUAGUUUAAAAGGGAAAAUAGAAAGGAAAACAAAUAUAUGUAAACCUGGGAGGAAGUAAUUUUGUGUAUUAUCUUACAAAUUAUAAGCUUAAGGCUUUUGGAGCUCUUGAAAAGCAUUACAGUCUAAGGUACAUGUUAAAUACAUGGGAGAUCAUUUCACAGGCAUGUACAAAACUGGGGUGCAGUUUUAAAUUGAAAAGCCCAUUAUAUGCUUGUCAGACCUGUGUGCUUCUCCACUGAUGACUUUACUUGAUCACAGAAACAAAUGCUUAAACUUUUUCCUGAAUCAGGACCUAAGCUCCUAUUGUCAUUGAUAUUUCAGUAGAGUAAUAAUUCGAUAGUUAUGGAAAGUCCUGCUUCCUAUUCCAGACACUCACACACACAUAUAUAUGUAUAUAUAUAAAACUUAUUUGUAUUGCUGCAGAAGUUAGAGCUUAAUCAAAGACUUGAUAAGUGCUGUAAAAUUACAAGAACAAAUGUGAUCUAAAGUUCUAAACAACUUUAGGAAGAUGACCACAGGAUAGCGAAAUAUAGGAUUGCGGGAGAAACUAUGAAUUCAUAGACUCAACACUAAGAUUAAAACUUAUUUCACUGCUUUUACUAUCCUAAGGUGUUCAUAACACACUUUUAAAAAUAUAUGACUUUGGAGAACAGACUUCCAGCAAUAAGUGUAUCUUCUAAGGGGUUGUAAAGAAAUUUGGAGAGAAAUAGCAGAUUACAAUAGUAUGGGCCAUAAAAUGGGCAUCAUAGCAAAAAGGUGGUAAAGGAAUGAUUCACUGAGGGAAAAAAUUCCAAUCAAUUGUUCACGAUAACUGCAGUUGAAAGCAGGAUCACUUCAAGGUAAAGACAUAUACAUGUAGGUAGGAAAAGUCCCAUUAUAGUCGAUGGAGAUUUAGUCAAGACAGUCAACCUUGCCUGAAAGGAAUUAACUGGUCAGACGGGAUGUGCAUCUUCAGAGAGAGAUGAACAACACCCCAAGCUCCAUCACAUUUCCUCAAUCUCAUUUUGUUGCAAGAGGAACUAAGAUGCUGAGUAUGUGUUCAGGACAUUCAAAUUAAAAGGUUUCAGCUUCAGAGCAAGAGAACUCCAUAUAGACUGUUUCAUCUUGCAAUAAAUAUUACUCUUUCCAGCUGACUCACUUUUGUAAGCAGAGAUGUCUACUGCUACCUGACACAGCCUUGGCUUUCAGCUUCUGCUUCAGAGGGCACAGGUGUCCCUGUAGUUCUUUCUGGAAAUUUCUGCCAGCCCUUUACAAUUAUCUAGGAAUGUCUUGAAAUGGCUAAGAUACCCCUACUUGGGUGACUGAAUGUAGCCCAUAAUGACUCUCAGUACUUUUGUACUUGUUAAUAAGGAAUAAAAAAAGCAAAAGCUGACAUCAUCUGCCUCAUUUUGCAUAUUUCUUUUGCUUUGUUUCCUUCCCCCCGGAGAUAGUUC